rnacentral:tRNA from 1 species
UGGGAUAUAGCUCAGUGGUAGAGUGUGUGCUUAGCAUAUAUGAGAUCCUGGGUUAAAUCCCCAGUACCUCUA